GUCUACGUAGCUUAAGACAAAGCACCGGUCUUGUAAACCGAAGAUUGAGGAGUAAUUCCCUCCUUAGACU
rnacentral:tRNA from 1 species